GACGAACGCUGGCGGCGUGCUUAACACAUGCAAGUCGAACGGAAAGGCCCUGCUUUUGUGGGGUGCUCGAGUGGCGAACGGGUGAGUAACACGUGAGUAACCUGCCCUUGACUUUGGGAUAACUUCAGGAAACUGGGGCUAAUACCGGAUAGGAGCUCCUGCUGCAUGGUGGGGGUUGGAAAGUUUCGGCGGUUGGGGAUGGACUCGCGGCUUAUCAGCUUGUUGGUGUGGUAGUGGCUUACCAAGGCUUUGACGGGUAGCCGGCCUGAGAGGGUGACCGGCCACAUUGGGACUGAGAUACGGCCCAGAAUCCUACGGGAGGCAGCAGUGGGGAAUAUUGCACAAUGGGCGGAAGCCUGAUGCAGCAACGCCGCGUGCGGGAUGACGGCCUUCGGGUUGUAAACCGCUUUCGCCGGUGACGAAGCGUGAGUGACGGUAAUGGGUAAAGAAGCACCGGCUAACUACGUG
rnacentral:rRNA from 1 species